rfam:Serratia sp. DD3 SRDD_contig000108, whole genome shotgun sequence.
GGGGCUGAUUCUGGAUUCGACGGGAUUUGCGAAGCCCAAGGAGCAUGCCGAGGGGCGGUUUGCCUCGUAAAAAGCCGCAAAAAAAUAGUCGCAAACGACGAAAACUACGCACUAGCAGCUUAAUACCCUGCCUAGAGCCCUCUCUCCCUAGCUUCCGCUCUUAAGACGGGGAUCAAGAGAGGUCAAACCCAAAAGAGAUCGUGUGGAGACCUUGCCUGGGGUUGAAGCACUAAAUUUAAUCAGGCUAGUUUGUUAGUGGCGUGUCCAUCCGCAGCUGACCGGCGAAUGUAAAGAUUGACUAAGCAUGUAGUGCCGACGGCGUAGUAAUUUCGGACGGGGGUUCAAAUCCCCCCAGCUCCACCA